UCGAAUCCUGCGAAAAGCAGACGACCGCGAACUUGUGCAACCGCUGGGCGUCGUGGAACGGGCGAGAUUAAAACCCUCCCCUCCUUCCCCGAUGCUCCCCGUGCGCCCGUCGCACGGACAGUAACUCAACCCCGGCGCGGAAAGCGCCAAGGAAAACUCGAAAUGAUGGCCUGCCUCCCCGCUGCCCCGUUCGCGGUGCGCUCGCGGGGAGCUGCGGUGCCUGUCGUAACCAAAACGACUCUCGGCAACGGAUAUCUCGGCUCUCGCAUCGAUGAAGAACGUAGCGAAAUGCGAUACUUGGUGUGAAUUGCAGAAUCCCGUGAACCAUCGAGUCUUUGAACGCAAGUUGCGCCCGAAGCCAUUAGGCGGAGGGCACGUCUGCCUGGGCGUCACGCAUUGCGUCGCUACCCCGCUCGUGCGGGGCGGCGAAAAUUGGCCUCCCGUGCCGUGAGGCGCGGCCGGCCUAAAUGUGAGCCCCCGACGAGGGACGUCACGACAUGUGGUGGUUGAAUGCCUCAACUCGAGUCCUGUCGUGCCCGCGUCCCUCGCCGUUUCUCGGGCUCCCUCGACCCUCAAAGCUUGCGUCCCGACGCGAGCCACGA
rnacentral:rRNA from 1 species